GACGGACGCUGGCGGCGUGCCUAAUACAUGCAAGUAGAACGCAGUUACGAAAUGGUGAGUAACGCGUAGGUAACUGCCUCAUAGCGGAGGAUAAGUAUUGGAAACACUAGCAAAACCCACAUACUUGGAGAUAGACCUGCGCUGUAUUAGCUAGUUGGUGAGGUAAAGGCGACCCAAGGCGACGAUACCUAGCAGACCUGAGAGGGUGACCGGGCAACCGGGGACUGAGACACGGGCCAGACUCCGCCGGGAGGCAGCAGUAGGGAAUAUUUGGCAAUGGACGGAAGUCUGACCGAGCAACGCCGCGUGAGUGAAGCAGGGUUUCGGAUCGUAAAGCUCGGUUGUUAGAGAAGCGGUAACUAGCCAGAAAGUGACAGCUAACGACGUGCCAGCAGCCGCGGUAAUUC
rnacentral:rRNA from 1 species